UACCAUAGGUCAUGAUCUAGUCUUAACGUCAGGUGAACUAAGGGUUAUAGCGACAUAAGUUAAGGAUUACUUAGAGGACAGCCAGUUGCCGUAGGUCAUGAUCUAGUCUCAACGUCAGGUGUCCUAAGGGCUAUAGUGACAUAAGUAAAGGAUAACUCAGACGACAACCAGUUGACAUAGGUCAUGAUCUAGUCUCAACGUCAGGUGUACUAAGGGCUAUAGUGAAAUAAGAAAAGGAUAACUUAGAUGACAACCAGUUGCUGUAGGUCAUGAUCUAGUCUCUACCUCUACGAUCAAGAGUG